rnacentral:rRNA from 1 species
AACGAACGCUGGCGGCAUGCCUAACACAUGCCAGUCGAACGAGACCUUCGGGACUGGUGGCGCACGGGUGCGUAACGCGUGGGAAGCUGCCCGUAGGUUCGGGAUAACUCCCCUAAAGGGGUGCUAAUACCGGAUAAUGUCCUCGAACCAAAGAUUUGUCGCCUUUGGAUGAGCCCGCGUUGGAUUAGCUAGGUGGGAGGGUAAAAGCCUACCAAGGCGACGCUCCAUAGCUGGUCUGAGAGGAUGAUCAGCCACACUGGGAAUGAGACACGGCCCAGACUCCUACGGGAGGCGGCAGUGGGGAAUAUUGGACUAUGGGCUGAAGCCUGAUGCAGCUAUGCCGCGUAAGUGAUGAAGGCCUUAGGGUUGUAAAGCUCUUUUACACGGGAUGAUAAUGACAGUACCGGGAGAAUAAGCUCCGGCUAACUCCGUG